UAAAAGAUAAGCUAAAAUUAAAGCUAAUGGGUUCAUACCUCACUUAUGGAAANUUUUCCUCUUUUUA
rnacentral:tRNA from 2 species